rnacentral:rRNA from 1 species
GACGAACGCUGGCGGCGUGCUUAACACAUGCAAGUCGAACGGAAAGGCCCUGCUUUUGUGGGGUGCUCGAGUGGCGAACGGGUGAGUAACACGUGAGUAACCUGCCCUUGACUUUGGGAUAACUUCAGGAAACUGGGGCUAAUACCGGAUAGGAGCUCCUGCUGCAUGGUGGGGGUUGGAAAGUUUCGGCGGUUGGGGAUGGACUCGCGGCUUAUCAGCUUGUUGGUGGGGUAGUGGCUUACCAAGGCUUUGACGGGUAGCCGGCCUGAGAGGGUGACCGGCAACAUUGGGACUGAGAUACGGCCCAGACUCCUACGGGAGGCAGCAGUGGGGAAUAAUGCACAAUGGGCGGGAGCCUGAUGCAGCAACGCCGCGUGCGGGAUGACGGCCUUCGGGUUGUAAACCGCUUUCGCCUGUGACGAAGCGUGAGUGACGGUAAUGGGUAAAGAAGCACCGGCUAACUACGUG